UGUAAUCUGGUGUUGUUGGAGCAUACUAUGUUUUGGUCGUAGAGGAAAUUAGGAGUUGAUUACAA
rnacentral:tRNA from 1 species